rnacentral:rRNA from 1 species
GACGAACGCUGGCGGCGCGCUUAACACAUGCAAGUCGAGCGAGAACCAGGACUUCGGUCCUGGGGACAGCGGCGAACGGGUGAGUAACACGUGGAUAACCUGCCCUCGGCACCGGGAUAGCCCGGGGAAACCCGGAUUAAUACCGGAUGGCCCUUCCGGCUCACGAGCCGGGCGGAAAAGGUAGCUUCGGCCUCCGGCCGAGGCUGGGUCCGCGGCGGAUUAGCUUGUUGGUGGGGUAACGGCCCACCAAGGCUCCGAUCCGUAGCUGGUCUGAGAGGACGAUCAGCCACACUGGGACUGAGACACGGCCCAGACUCCUACGGGAGGCAGCAGUGGGGAAUCUUGCGCAAUGGGCGAAAGCCUGACGCAGCGACGCCGCGUGAGGGAGGAAGGCCUUCGGGUUGUAAACCGCUGUCGUAGGGGAGGAAAUUCUGGUGGGUACUCCCAUCAGAUUGACUGAUCCUAGGAGGAAGGACCGGCUAAUCUCGUGCCAGCAGCCGCAGUAACAC